rnacentral:rRNA from 1 species
CGGCAACAGCUCAAAUUUGAAAUCUGGCGCAAGCCCGAGUUGUAAUUUGUAGAGGAUGCUUCUGGGCAGCGGCCGUUCUAAGUUCCUUGGAACAGGACGUCAUAGAGGGUGAGAAUCCCGUAUGUGACCGGCACGUACCCUUUACGUAGCUCCUUCGACGAGUCGAGUUGUUUGGGAAUGCAGCUCUAAAUGGGAGGUAAAUUCCUUCUAAAGCUAAAUACCGGCCAGAGACCGAUAGCGCACAAGUAGAGUGAUCGAAAGAUGAAAAGCACUUUGGAAAGAGAGUUAAAAAGCACGUGAAAUUGUUGAAAGGGAAGCGCUUACAACCAGACUUCGUGGCGGUGUUCCGCCGGUCUUCUGACCGGUCUACUCGCCGCCGCGAGGCCAGCAUCGUCUGGGGCCGCCGGAUAAGACCUUAGGAAUGUAGCUUGCCUCGGUAAGUGUUAUAGCCUAGGGUGAUGCGGCGUGCCUCGGGCGAGGUCCGCGCUUCGGCAAGGAUGCUGGCGUAAUGGUUGUCAGCGGCCCGUCUUGAAACACGGACCAAGGAGUCUAACAUCUAUGCGAGUGUUCGGGUGUCAAACCCCUACGCGUAAUGAAAGUGAACGGAGGUGGGAAGCGCAAGCUGCACCAUCGACCGAUCCUGAUGUCCUCGGAUGGAUUUGAGUAAGAGCAUAGCUGUUGGGACCCGAAAGAUGGUGAACUAUGCCUGAAUAGGGUGAAGCCAGAGGAAACUCUGG